rnacentral:rRNA from 1 species
GCCGGGCACACAAUAACUAAGCACGCACGUCUAUACGGAGCACGCCGCGUGAGUGAUGAAGGGUUUCGGCUCGUAAAACUCUGUUGUUGGAGAAGAACGGGUGUGAGAGUAACUGCUCACGUCUUGACGGUAUCCAACCAGAAAGCCACGGCUAACUACGUGCCAGCAGCCGCGGUAAUACAAA